CUUCUGCUCUUUUGACCGUUUUCUUCUCAAUCUUGCUUAUGAAAGCUCUUCUGGAUUUGAAAUUUCGUCACUGUUCUUCUUCUGAGCGUGUGGUGCGUUAGUUAUUGUAUCUCUUCCAUGGUUGUGUGCUGUUGUGUGCAAUUCUUUUGUCACAAAUCAAAAUCAAACUUCAACCAUGGAGUGGAGUCAGUGGUUGAAGCAUUUGAGAGACUUGGAACCAGAAGGGAGUUUAAAAGGUCAAUCAAUUCAUUGAAGUUCGACCUGGAAUAGUUGUUAAAGAUGAGAGUGGAAACAUCUUGGAGGCCUAAUUGGUGUUGGAACAACCAUGGAUACCACUUUAACUCGUGCUGACAGGUAAACUAUUUCUUGCUUCGACGACUUCUUGGUAUUAGAACUAAAGGUUCGGAGAGACAAGAAAAAGUCGCAAAGCUGGCAAAAGGAGAGAUGCUUAUGUUGAACAUAGGAUCAAUGUUAACAGGUCCCGGAGUCGUUGAUGUGAAGAAUGACUUGGCGAAAUUGCAACUUACUUCCCCUGUGUGCACCAGCACGACAUGUUUUCGAAUUUGAUAUGUUUUUCGGUAUUUUGUACUACAUGAUUAUGGAACUUGCUUUUUUUUAUAUCAUGAUGCUUAUUUGAUAUUAAAUGUUUUUGAUUGGAAUUAAUUUUA